rnacentral:rRNA from 1 species
GACAGAGGGUGCAAACGUUGUUCGGAAUUACUGGGCGUAAAGCGCGUGUAGGCGGCUCGGCAAGUCGGAUGUGAAAGCCCUGGGCUUAACCUAGGAAGUGCAUUCGAAACUGCCAAGCUUGAGUUCUGGAGAGGAAGGCGGAAUUCUCGGUGUAGCGGUGGAAUGCGUAGAGAUCCGGAAGAACACCGGUGGCGAAGGCGGCCUGCUGGGCAGUAGCUGACGCUGAGGCACGAAAGCGUGGGGAGCAAACAGG